rnacentral:rRNA from 1 species
GAUGAACGCUGGCGGCGUGCUUAACACAUGCAAGUCGAACGGAAAGGCCCUGCUCUUGCGGGGUGCUCGAUUGCCGCACGGGUGAGUAACACGUGAGUAACCUGCCCUUGACUUUGGGAGAACAUUAGGAAACAGGGGCUAUUACCGCAUAGGAUCUCUUGCUGCAUGUUGGGGGUUGGAAAGUUACGGCGGUUUUGGAUGGACUCGCGGCUUAUCAGCUUGUUUGUUGGGUAGGGGCGUACAAAGGCUUUGAAGGGUAGCCGGCCUGGGAGGGUGAACGGCCACAUUGGGACUGAGAUACGGACCAGACUCCUACGGGAGGCAGCAGUGGGGAAUAUUGCACAAUGGGCGGAAGCCUGAUGCAGCAACGCCGCGUGCGGGAUGACGGCCUUCGGGUUGUAAACCGCUGUCGCCUGUGACGAAGCGUGAGUGACGGUAAUGGGUAAAGAAGCACCGGCUAACUACGUG